AGGACGAACGCUGGCGGCGUGCUUAACACAUGCAAGUCGAACGAGGUGCUUGCACCUAGUGGCGAACGGGUGAGUAACACGUGAGCAAUCUGCCCCUAGCUCUGGGAUAGCUCCGGGAAACCGGGAUUAAUACCAGAUACAACCACUUUAGACAUCUUUUGUGGUGGAAAGGAUUCCGGCUAGGGAUGAGCUCGCGGCCUAUCAGCUUGUUGGUUGGGGUAACGGCCCACCAAGGCGACGACGGGUA
rnacentral:rRNA from 1 species